ensembl:snRNA U6 U6 spliceosomal RNA
GCUCGCUUCAGCAGCACAUAUUAAAAUUGAAAGGAUACAGAGAAGAUUAGCAUGGCCAAGGAAGAUUAGCAUGGCCAAGGCAAAUUUGU